rnacentral:lncRNA from 1 species
GGUGGCAGAGCCUGACAUUCAGUGCACAGAAGCCUGCUCGACCUCAGCCCUGUGCACCAGGCUGCCCAGCAUCCCUGCCUCGUUGUACCCAUGAGGGUCUCUGCCCCAGACGGUCCCAGCAAAAGCAGUUUCAGGGCUGAAUUCAGUCGGGUUUCACAUCUUUUUCUUUUGCGGAGGUGAUACUACAUUGCCAGCUACGCUUUUUUACCAUAUGCAACACCAACACACUGGCAGUUAACAAGCUACAACACAGAACCACUUGGCAACACAGAGAAAAUGGGCAGAAAAUCCCCAAGCAAGAGGGAAGAGGGGAAAAAAAUGCGAUGAAUUGACUGCAUUAAGCAUGCAAGAGAGAACUGUAAAGGAGAGCCUGCCAGGGAGCAAAGGUGCCCUCCCAGGCUUGUGCACAGCACCAAGUAGGGAACUUCAGCAGGGGAAGCAGCCACUGCUAGACCAUCAGCGAGAUGAAGCACCUGAAUACUUUCUGGAGAGCAACAGAGGGAGAAGAGAGUGAUCUCACUACUCCAAUCACAUUGCAUUGUUAUAUACCUUGGAAACAGAAAAGCAGUCUAGGUAACAGAUGAUCACAAGACAGAAGAAUAAGUGACCCUGCAUUACAUAGUUUCAUAGUCCCAAACACAGUUAAAAUCAGGGAGAAAGGACAAGACGCUACUAAAGCAGGUAAUCUGAAUCACAAUACAGAGUACAGUCAUGAUAUCAUCAAAUUAAUAUCUAGAGUGAUUUGAAAUAUUUUCCAAUAAAAACAGAAUUAGUUAACCUGUAGACUCUAGG